rnacentral:rRNA from 1 species
GACGAACGCUGGCGGCGUGCUUAACACAUGCAAGUCGAACGGAAAGGCCCUGCUUUUGUGGGGUGCUCGAGUGGCGAACGGGUGAGUAACACGUGAGUAACCUGCCCUUGACUUUGGGAUAACUUCAGGAACCUGGGGCUAAUACCGGAUAGGAGCUCCUGCUGCAUGGUGGGGGUUGGAAAGUUUCGGCGGUUGGGAAUGGACUCGCGGCUUAUCAGCUUGUUGGUGGGGUAGUGGCUUACCAAGGCUUUGACGGGUAGCCGGCCUGAGAGGGUGACCGGCCACAUUGGGACUGAGAUACGGCCCAGACUCCUACGGGAGGCAGCAGUGGGGAAUAUUGCACAAUGGGCGGAAGCCUGAUGCAGCAACGCCGCGUGCGGGAUGACGGCCUUCGGGUUGUAAACCGCUUUCGCCUGUGACGAAGCGUGAGUGACGGUAAUGGGUAAAGAAGCACCGGCUAACUACGUG